UCGACGGAGAGUUUGAUCCUGGCUCAGGACGAACGCUGGCGGCGUGCCUAAUACAUGCAAGUCGAGCGAGGUCCAUCGGUGCUUGCACCGUGAAGACCUAGCGGCGAACGGGUGAGUAACACGUGAGAAACCUGCCCCGAAGUCUGGGAUAAGCCGGGGAAACCUGGUCUAAUACCGGAUCCCCUCCUUUGAUCGCAUGGUCGAUGGAGGAAAGAAUUUCGCUUCGGGAGGGUCUCGCGGCCUAUCAGCUAGUUGGCGGGGUAACGGCCCACCAAGGCUUCGACGGGUAGCUGGUCUGAGAGGACGAUCAGCCACACUGGGACUGAGACACGGCCCAGACUCCUACGGGAGGCAGCAGUAGGGAAUCUUGCGCAAUGGGCGAAAGCCUGACGCAGCAACGCCGCGUGCGGGAUGAAGGCCCUCGGGUCGUAA
rnacentral:rRNA from 1 species